rnacentral:rRNA from 1 species
GACGAACGCUGGCGGCGUGCUUAACACAUGCCAGUCGAACGGAAAGGCCCUGCUUUUGUGGGGUGCUCGAGUGGCGAACGGGUGAGUAACACGUGAGUAACCUGCCCUUGACUUUGGGAUAACUUCAGGAAACUGGGGCUAAUACCGGAUAGGAGCUCCUGCUGCAUGGUGGGGGUUGGAAAGUUUCGGCGGUUGGGGAUGGACUCGCGGCUUAUCAGCUUGUUGGUGGGGUAGUGGCUUACCAAGGCUUUGACGGGUAGCCGGCCUGAGAGGGUGACCGGCGACAUUGGGACUGAGAUACGGCCCAGACGCCUACGGGAGGCAGCAGUGGGGAAUAUUGCACAAUGGGCGGAAGCCUGAUGCAGAAACGCCGCGUGCGGGAUGACGGCCUUCGGGUUGUAAACCGCUUUCGCCUGUGACGAAGCGUGAGUGACGGUAAUGGGUAAAGAAGCACCGGCUAACUACGUG